rnacentral:rRNA from 1 species
CGUCUAGCAUGCAGUCGGGCGGCAAGGGGGAGCAAUCCUCCCUAGAGCGGCGGACUGGUGAGUAACGCGUGGGUGACCUGCCCUUAGGUUGGGGAUAGCCCCUAGAAAUAGGGGGUAAUACCGAAUACGGUUAUCUGGUUAUGACUGGAUAAAGAAAGGAGCUUCGGCUUCGCCUGGGGAUGGGCCCGCGUCCCAUUAGCUAGUUGGCGGGGUAAGGGCCCACCAAGGCUCUGAUGGGUAGCCGGCCUGAGAGGGUGAACGGCCACACUGGGACUGAGAUACGGCCCAGACUCCUACGGGAGGCAGCAGCUAAGAAUAUUCCGCAAUGGUCGAAAGACUGACGGAGCGACGCCGCGUGGAUGAUGAAGGCCGAAAGGUUGUAAAAUCCUUUUGUUGCUGAAGAAUAAGCUUUGCAGGGAAUGGCAGGGCGAUGACGUUAGGCAACGAAUAAGCCCCGGCUAAUUACGCGCCAGCAGCCGCGGUAACACGUAAGGGGCGAGCGUUGUUCGGAAUUAUUGGGCGUAAAGGGCGCGUAGGCGGCAGAGUAAGCCCGGCGUGAAAUACUUCGGCUUAACCGGGGAACUGCGUUGGGAACUGCUGUGCUUGAGUCUCGGAGGGGGAGUUGGAAUUCCUAGUGUAGGGGUGAAAUCUGUAGAUAUUAGGAAGAACACCGGUGGCGAAGGCGGACUUCCAGCCGGAGACUGACGCUGAGGCGCGAAAGUGCGGGGAGCAAACAGGAUUAGAUACCCUGGUAGUCCGCACCAUAAACGAUGUACACUAGUGUUGGGCCGUGCGGCUCGGUGCCGAAGCAAACGUGAUAAGUGUACCGCCUGGGGAGUAUGCCCGCAAGGGUGAAACUCAAAGGAAUUGACGGGGGCCCGCACAAGCGGUGGAGCAUGUGGUUUAAUUCGAUGAUACGCGAGGAACCUUACCUGGGUUUGACAUGAGAGUGAGUCUGUAGAGAUAGAGCGCCGAGCAAUCGGACUCUUCACAGUGCUGCAUGCUGUCGUCAGCUCGUGCCGUGAGUGUUGGGGUAAGUCCCGCACGAGC